ensembl:lncRNA
GAGUGCCCUGCUUUGUUGGCCCUCUCAAACGCAGGUUUGUCUCCCAUCUGAGCAUCCCAUUGCCCUUGGGUAAGUAAUGAUCUUCACCUGAAUUCAUUUUAGAUGCUCAGGAGUUUACCAGCUCUGAUAUCUCCACCUCCCGGCUGUGCUCUGCUGCUCAACGGUGUGCAUCUCCAGACCAGCAGCUUAGCGAUGGUAGCAGGAAUCUGCUGUCUGCUAGGAGCUGCUCUCUCCGCUGGUGACCACAAAAUGGUGGAGUUCAAAAUCCUCAGGGUGUCAGAGAGGGUGCAUAGCAAGCUUGCUACUCUGGGCUUCAGGAGAGCAGACUUGGAACUCUUCAGGGAACUGCUUGGCAGAGUGACAUGGGAGAAAGCCCUGGAGGGAAGAGAGGCCCAAGAAAGCUGGUCAAUAUUCAAGAACCAUCUCCUCCUAGCCCAGAAGCAUUGCAUCCUGAGAAAAAGGAAGGCAGGCAAGAACGCCAGGAGGCCUCUGUGGAUCAACAAGGAGCUCUUGGACUUACUUAAAGUCUAUAGGGAGUGGAAGCAGGAACAGGUUGCCUGGGAGGACUGCAACGUUGUCAGAGCAGGCAGGGAAAAAGCUAAAACCCAGACAGAAUUAAAUCUAGCCAGGGACAGCGAGGGGACCAAGAAGAAAUUCUACAGGUAUAUCAGUGAUAAAUAGAAUGUCUGGGAGGAUGUGGACCCUCUCCGGUAGGAAACUGGAGAUCUGGUCACAAGAGAUAUGGAGAAAUCUGAGGUGUUCAGUGACUUCCUUGCCUCAGUCUUCACUGACAAGGGCUCUAGCCACAAAGCCCAAGUUGCAGAAAGCAAUGGUAAGAACUUGGAAAAGGUAGAUCUGCCUGCUGUAAGUGAAGAUCAGGCUCGAGACCAUCUGAAGGUGCACAAGUCCAUGGCACCUGACGAGAUCUUUCCCUGGGAUCUGAGGGAACUGGUGAAUGAAGUUGCCAAGCCGCUACCUGAAAGGACGUGGCAGUCUGGUGAAGUUCCCACUGAUUGGAAAAGGGGAACCCCAACCUCCAUUUUCAAGAAGGGAAAAAAAGAAGAUCCAAGGAACCACAGGACAAUUAGUCUCACCUCUGUGCCUGACAAGAUCAUGGAACAGAUCCUCCUGUAUGCUCUACUAAGGCAGAUGGAAAAUAAAGAUGAGGUAAUCGAUGGUAACCAACAUGGCUUCACCAAGGACAAGUCACUCCUGACAAACGUGGUGGCCUCUUAUGAUGGAGUUACAGCAUCAGUGAUAAAGAAAGAGCAACUCAUAUCAUCUACCUGGACUUGUGCAAAGCAUUUGACACUGUCCCACAUGGCAUCCUGUUGUCAAAUUGGAGAAAAAUGGAUUUGAUGGAUGGACUACUCUCUGGAUAAGGAAUUGGUUGGAUGGUUGCACUCAGAGAGUUGUGAUCAACAGCUCAGUGUCCAAGUGGAAACCAGUGAUGAGUGGCAUUCUGCAGGGAUCGAUGUUAUUUAACAUCUUUGUAGGCAACAUGGACAGUGGGAUUGAGUGCACCUUCAGCAAGUUUGCAGAUGGCACCAAGCUGAGUGGUGCAGAUGACACAGUAGAGGGAAGGGAUUCUAUCCAGGGGGACCUGGACAGGCUUGAGAGAUGGACCAAUGCCAACCUCAUGAAAGUUCAACAAGCCAAGUGCAAGGUCCUGCAUAUGGGUCAGGGCAAUCCCAAGCACAGAUACAGUUUGUGCAGAGAAUGGCUUGAGAGCAGUCCUGAGAAGGAUUUGGGAGUGUCGAUUGAUGAAAGAUUCAACAUGAGCUGGCAGUGUGCACUUGCAGCCCAGAAGGCCAACCAUAUCCUGGCUUGCAUCAAGAGAAAUGUGACCAGCAGGUCAAGAGAGGGGAUUCUGCCCCUCUACUCUGCUCUCAUGAGACCCCACCUGGAGUACUGCGUCCAGUUCUGGGGACCCCAACACAAAAAAGGACAUGGAGUAGUUGGAGCAGGUCCAGAGGAGGGCCACAAAGAUGAUCACAGCUUUAAGGUUCUUUCUAACCCAAGCCAUCCAAUGAUUCAAAGAAAUUUCAGUCAGGACUGCAAUAGAAGCUCUCCUGGAGGGGAAGGAUGAAUGGCCUUUCAGUUUCCGUCAUGGUGUGGCCUUGUGGUAGGCUGUGUCACUGGGUAGCCAACAGCUGCACAGCAGGGCCCUGCAUGUGGGAAGAUGGGCUCCCUUCUGGCUCUUCCAGUUUGUACUGAAUAACUUCUUAGAUUUCACAGGCCAAAAAGGAAAAGUUGAUUGUAACUGCUGCAGGCAGGGCAGGCAGGCUCCUGACUGAAGGGUGAGCUGGCUCCAGUUAUUUCCAGUGACCGCAGCAGAUAAAAGCAGCACCUUAAUCAGCCAGCCUGGGUGUGCUCUGGGCCUCACUGAGUGGCUGCUCUUGCAGAAGGACUUGCAGUUUGCUCAACUGCUUUGCUCAGGAGAGGCAGGAGCCUUUCUGAAGUAACUCCAUCAACACAGGGAGGGUAAAUCUGUUCCUACAGCAUGUUCCUUGAAAGCACACGUUUGGCCCUGCAAGUUUAUUGAGAGGAGGGGAAAAAAAAAAGAAAAAAAAAAAGGAAGAGGGCAGGUUUUAAACAAAUAAACUGCACAAAUUCAGAACUGCUAAACAUGGAGGUGCUUUACUGGGAAUGACCAAGAAGGCUGAUGGCAUCCUGGUUUGUACUGUGAGUACUGGUGAGUACUGUGUUCUGUACUGUUCGAGUGAACUGUGUUCAGUUUUGGGCCCCUCACUGCAAGACUCCACUGAGGCCCUGGGGCGUGUCCAGAGAAAGACAACGAAGCUGUGAGGUGUCUGGAGCACAAGUCUCGUGGGGAGCAUCUGAGAGAACUGGGUUAUUUAAUCUGGAGAAGAGGAGGCUCAGGGGAGAGCUUAUAGCUCUCCACAACUACCUAAAGGAAGGUUGUGGCGAGGUGGGGGUCGGCUGCUUUUCCCUGGUAACAGCAAUAGGAUAAGAGGGAAUGGCCUCAAGUUUCACCAGGGGAAGUUCGGGUUGGAUAUUAUGAAAAAUUGCUUCUCCAGAAGAGUGGUCAGGUGCAGGAAUGGGCUGCCCAGGGAGGUGGUUGAGUCACCAUCCCUUGGGGUGUCCAAGAAAU